UGGGGAAUUUUGGACAAUGGGCGCAAGCCUGAUCCAGCCAUGCCGCGUGCAGGAAGAAGGCCUUCGGGUUGUAAACUGCUUUUGUCAGGGAAGAAAUCCUUUGGGUUAAUACCUCGAAGGGAUGACGGUACCUGAAGAAUAAGCACCGGCUAACUACGUGCCAGCAGCCGCGGUAAUACGUAGGGUGCGAGCGUUAAUCGGAAUUACUGGGCGUAAAGCGUGCGCAGGCGGCUUUGCAAGACAGAUGUGAAAUCCCCGGGCUCAAACCUGGGAACUGCAUUUGUGACUGCAAGGCUAGAGCGCGGCAGAGGGAGAUGGAAUUCCGCGUGUANCAGUGAAAUGCGUAGAUAUGCGGAGGAACACCGAUGGCGAAGGCAAUCUCCUGGGCCUGCACUGACGCUCAUGCACGAAAAGCGUGGGGAGCAAAACAGGAUUAGAUACCCUGGUAGUCCACGCCCUAAACGAUGUCAACUGGUUGUUGGACGGCUUGCUGUUCAGUAACGAAGCUAACGCGUGAAGUUGACCGCCUGGGGAGUACGGCCGCAAGGUUGAAACUCAAAUGAAUUGACGGGGUCAUAGCUGUUUCCU
rnacentral:rRNA from 1 species